rnacentral:rRNA from 1 species
ACGGGUGAGUAAUACAUCGGAACGUGCCCAGUAGUGGGGGAUAGCCCGGCGAAAGCCGGAUUAAUACCGCAUACGACCUAUGGGUGAAAGCGGGGGAUCGCAAGACCUCGCGCUAUUGGAGCGGCCGAUGUCAGAUUAGCUAGUUGGUGGGGUAAAAGCCUACCAAGGCGACGAUCUGUAGCUGGUCUGAGAGGACGACCAGCCACACUGGGACUGAGACACGGCCCAGACUCCUACGGGAGGCAGCAGUGGGGAAUUUUGGACAAUGGGCGCAAGCCUGAUCCAGCCAUGCCGCGUGUGGGAAGAAGGCCUUCGGGUUGUAAACCACUUUUGUCAGGGAAGAAACGGCUUGAUCUAAUAAAUCGAGCUAAUGACGGUACCUGAAGAAUAAGCACCGGCUAACUACGUGCCAGCAGCCGCGGUAAUACGUAGGGUGCAAGCGUUAAUCGGAAUUACUGGGCGUAAAGCGUGCGCAGGCGGCUAUGCAAGACAGAUGUGAAAUCCCCGGGCUCAACCUGGGAACUGCAUUUGUGACUGCAUGGCUAGAGUACGGUAGAGGGGGAUGGAAUUCCGCGUGUAGCAGU